UACGUAGGGAGCAAGCGUUGUCCGGAAUCAUUGGGCGUAAAGCGCGCGUAGGCGGCCUCAUAAGUCCGUUGUGAAAGUCAAAGGCUCAACCUUUGAAAGCCGAUGGAUACUGUGAGGCUAGAGUCCGGAAGAGGCGAGUGGAAUUCCUGGUGUAGCGGUGGAAUGCGCAGAUAUCAGGAGGAACACCAAUAGCGAAGGCAGCUCGCUGGGACGGUACUGACACUAAGGCGCGAAAGCGUGGGGAGCGAACAGG
rnacentral:rRNA from 1 species